GAUGAACGCUGGCGGCGUGCCUAAUACAUGCAAGUCGAGCGAAUGGAUUAAGAGCUUGCUCUUAUGAAGUUAGCGGCGGACGGGUGAGUAACACGUGGGUAACCUGCCCAUAAGACUGGGAUAACUCCGGGAAACCGGGGCUAAUACCGGAUAAUAUUUUGAACUGCAUGGUUCAAAAUUGAAAGGCGGCUUCGGCUGUCACUUAUGGAUGGACUCGCGUCGCAUUAGCUAGUUGGUGAGGUAACGGCUCACCAAGGCAACGAUGCGUAGCCGACCUGCGAGGGUGAUCGGCCACACUGGGACUGAGACACGGCACAGACUCCUACAGGAGGCAGCAGUAGGGAAUCUUCCGCAAUGGACGAAAGUCUGACGGAGCAACGCCGCGUAAGUGAUGAAGGCUUUCGGGUCGUAAAACUCUGUUGUUAGGGAAGAACAAGUGCUAGUUGAAUAAGCUGGCACCUUGACGGUACCUAACCAGAAAGCCACGGCUAACUACGUGCCAGCAGCCGCAGUAA
rnacentral:rRNA from 1 species